CCUACGGGUGGCUGCAGUGAGGAAUAUUGGUCAAUGGACGAGAGUCUGAACCAGCCAAGUAGCGUGAAGGAUGACUGCCCUAUGGGUUGUAAACUUCUUUUAUAUGGGAAUAAAAUGUUCCACGUGUGGGAUUUUGUAUGUACCAUAUGAAUAAGGAUCGGCUAACUCCGUGCCAGCAGCCGCGGUAAUACGGAGGAUCCGAGCGUUAUCCGGAUUUAUUGGGUUUAAAGGGAGCGUAGGUGGAUUGUUAAGUCAGUUGUGAAAGUUUGCGGCUCAACCGUAAAAUUGCAGUUGAAACUGGCAGUCUUGAGUACAGUAGAGGUGGGCGGAAUUCGUGGUGUAGCGGUGAAAUGCUUAGAUAUCACGAAGAAAUCCGAUUGGGAAGGCAGUUCACUGGACUGCAACUGACACUGAGGCUCGAAAGUGUGGGUAUCAAACAGGAUUAGAUACCCUAGUAGUC
rnacentral:rRNA from 1 species